CACCUCCUCCGGCGGAGCUCCCGGACGGUUCUCGGGGCGCAGGAGAGGACGGACGUUCCCCGGGCCAUGGCAGCAGUGAUUGACAGCUUUUACUACAGCAGGAGCUAAGCCACCUGGGUCUACCUGCACCUUCGAGGGGAGUAACAGCUCCCGGGGAAGAAACCCAUCUUAUCUGAGCAAACUGCUGGGGGGGAUGAGAACAGACAGAGGCAAGGUAGAAGGGCAGACAGCAGCGCUGAAGAGGAACCUGCUUUUUCCCAUUGUGUUUCAGUCCGUUUCAAGCCGCACCCCACUCAGGUUCCUUGUUUUUCAGCCAGCUCCUAACACCACCUGGAAUCCCCUUCCACUGUCCCGGCCCAGCUAAGCUAAGGGCCAGGAACUCGGGACAGAGAAGAGCCCUUGGCCCAUCUGUGUCACUUACAAAUGGCGUGAGCCGGACUCAAGUUGCUGUGGCUGGAUUUGGAAAAGGCUGAAUAUCGGUUUGUCACCAGCAGUGGGCUGAAGUUGGGGCUCCUUAGAUGCAUCGUAGGCUGUGGGUGCUUUUAGUUCCACAGGCUGUGGAGGGGGAGACACGAGAGGAGUCAGCGGAGAAGUCAGCUGAGGGAAUCACUCUCCGCAUCAGACAGAGGAAUUCCUCGUCAGGCGCAGCGCGGGAGAGGCUCCUUGUGCGCAGCACUCGGGGCGCUGGGCCGGGCUGCCUGAGCAGGGCUGCUGCCCCGCCUGCUCCCCACCGCCUCAGCAGCUCCUGGAGAUCGAGGGCUCUUGGAGCAGUACGUGGUGCAGAUCAGCCCCGAGAGGCACCGAGUGAGCACCGGCGAGCCCUCUGCUCCACGACAGCUGCGGCUCGGGCGGGAGCUGCUGCCGGGGACCUCCGCAUGCCACUGGAGCCGUGCCGAACAGGUGAGCAGGGCAGGGGGGAGCGCAGGACAAUCCUGGUCAGGCACUCCUGGAGCCUCACGCAGCGUGUCUCAGACCUGUUGGUGCCAAUGCUAUCUCGGAGCCCAUCCCUCUGCCCUCGCCAUAGCCUCCUGGCUGGCAGGGGCCAGUCUGUCUAUCCAAGGAAACUUCUGGAAAGCCAGCAACACCCAUGCCCUAGCAGAACCACGCACACCUACUUCCUCAGGGCAUGCGGCAAGAAGCCUCUCCCUCCCACUGACACGAGGGGUUAAAAGCCACUGACUUUCUCAGCUCUUGGCACUUUAACUCUGCAUCCCCACCCCAGCCCUUCUCCAGCCAGACUGCAGCUCCCACCUGCACAGAAUGCAGCGCAGCCUGAUCAAUUCUGUCUAUCACGGUGACAGAAAGAUCAUUUGCUACCCUGAUCACUCUGUGCUGUCUCAGGCCGGGUGAGGGUUUGUUUCCCCUCCAACCAAAUCAUUAUAAAUUGACAUUAUUCAUGGGCUGGCACUUCACCCUGCCUCAGUUCUGGUAUGAAAGCAGCAUGAGGGAUCAGAAAUACAAAACCAAAAAAGCCUAUUUCUCUCCAGCUUCCCAUAAAUAAAUAUCAUGACAAGGUGAAAGUCACUUCAGAGGGCUCUGGAGCUGUCAUGUUCACUACCCUAUGGAAAAGCUAGUCAAGGCACCUUUUGUUUCCUUGCACUUUCUCACCCUUCCCGUGGCUGGUGCAGAGACUGUACCAACAUAAAGCAUCGUGUAAAAAGAAUCCUGCUUCCCAGCACCAGAACACCUCACUGCAUGUUAAGACAUGUUAUCCUACUCAGGGUUCAGCACCCCUCUUCCUCCUGUCAGAGAAAAACAAAGUCCCACACGCUGAGGUGCUCUCUGUUUGUUAGGGUACCUGGAAGUGCAGUCAGGAGAGGUGAAAUGAGGACCAAAAGAUGGAUGAUGUUGUGGUGGACAGAAGGCCGCAGGCUGGCGGGGCUUUAUUUGGAUGUCUAGAACAAGUGAACGCAGUGGAAAGAUGCAGAGACCGGAUACAGGCAGUUCAAGAGAGGUUUGGGUGGGUUAAGGUUUUUUGUUUUGGUUUGGUUUGGGUUUUUUUCCAGGGAUUUGGAUUUACAUCCUCUUGUUUUUUCAGGAGUUCACCCGCCGUGCAACGUGGAGAUGAAAAGCACAUUAUCCUGGUCCUGGAGUUUAUAAUCCAGCUCACCCUGCAGGCCAAGCAAAAAAAUGAAAAACUGUUUAAAUGUCAUUUCCAAAUACAAGCUGCAAAGAGAAAACAGCUCAUAAAAAGAUGGUGAGUAUUAGGGAGAGCAAAAGGGGACAGACUGAUGUUUUCGUCAUAACAGAAGCAAAGGUGAGAUGCUGAUGCUCAUCACCCCACACGGCUUUCUGGACCAGGGUUUUGACAGAACAGGUGGUUGCCUGAGGCAGGGAAAUGGGAGGAGCUGUUUGUUGUCUGAGCACAACAGUGGGCUGAGAAGGAAAGACAUUUACCAGGUGCCUGUUUGAGCUGAAAUCUCCCUGUGGCCUUCACCUGCCAGGCACCACCUGACUCCAGGGAAGGUGGCUCUGCGUGGGGCCUGAAGGUCCCAGGUGUUCCCCACGCUGUUACCCCACAUGUGAGGGGACCUGCCAGCAGCCAGAGGUGCAAAACCCAGUUCCAGAGACCAGGGAAAAAGGGCGAUCUCUCUUCAGACCCUGUCUGGCUGAUGAGACUCAGCAGGUUAGAGAGAGGCUCCAGGCUUUUGAACAGCCACAGCGCAGGAGAUAGAUUCCAGCCUGCCCCUUCCCCCUCAAAUAUGAGAUGCCUUGCUUGGGGCAAGAAUCAGAAAUAGCUUCUGUGAGAGCAACCACGGAACAGAGAGAGCAAUAUUUUCAACAAAGAAAGUCAAACUGAAGGAGUACAGACCAUUAGUUCCCAGUCUGCCUCGUUGAUGAGCACCAAAAUUCCUGGCCUCCUGCAGAAUAGAGAAAAAUAAUUAGGAUACAGGGCUGCUAAAAAGCCCCACAAAUAGUUAAGAACAAGGUAUGUCACAGCACAGAUCACAAGCUGACUGCCUAUAAAGCCAAAAAAGGGAUCCUAGCAUGGAGGUGGAAACAGGUACAGUCUGUGCCCUUUCUAGAUCAAAUAAAGGGGACGCAGGAGUAACCCCAAAGCUCAUUUGAAUGAAAAGGCACCGUUCUGAGGAUGCUCCAGGAUGACUGCAUUUCCGUACCAUGCAGAAAAGCCAGGUAAUUAAAACCCACGCACGACACUCAAGCGCAGAGAGCUCAGUGUGAAGGUAGGCAAAGCCAUUCCAGUGCCCCUACCAGAGGCACUAAACACCUGGGAUCCACUCCAAGCCCCUGAUUCUGAAGCAAAGGGAUUCCCCCUCUUUGAUCUUCAGUGUCCUGCAAUUGUCUCUCCUGUUACCAGGGGACCUGGCACAUGCUUCAGCUCACAAAGAUCUGUGACGAAUGUUAAACACCCCCAGCGCCACCCCGCAGUCAGGGAUGGCUUGCACAGCUCACUCUGCUCCAUUUCUCUUGCCGUCCUUUUUUUUUUUUUUCCCCUAACCCCCCCCCUCCACGAGACUGGCCCCAUUUUGAUAAUAAAAAUACAUUUCCCAGAAGAAG